GUAAGUUGUCAAACUGUUUUUAAACGGUUUGACUAUUUACUCUGUAAGGGGGUCCCGGCACUAUUGGCACCAUAACCACUACACUGAGCUGUAGUGGUUAUUGUGUCUCGAUUAUUUAUUUAAAUAAUCUGCAAGUGCCCUUCCCGAGAUCAGGCUCUGGAUCUGCCACUGCCUACUUAUACCAUUCCCUCUAGCAUGUAAGCUCAUUGAGCAAGGCCCU